rnacentral:rRNA from 1 species
GCAGUUGACGAGGAGCAAUUAAGCUUGCUUUUGAGCUCCUAGUGGCGGACGGGUUAGUAACACGUGAGUAACUUGCCUCAGAGUGGGGGAUAGUCCUGGGAAACUGGGUUUAAUACCGCAUAUGCUCUACGGAGUAAAGCCGGCUUUGCUGGCGCUUUGAGAUAGGCUCGCGUCCUAUCAGCUAGUUGGUGAGGUAACGGCUCACCAAGGCGACGACGGGUAGUUGGUCUGAGAGGACGACCAGCAACACUGGAACUGAGACACGGUCCAGACACCUACGGGUGGCAGCAGUCGAGAAUCAUUCACAAUGGGGGCAACCCUGAUGGUGCAACGCCGCGUGGAGGAUGAAGGCCCUAGGGUCGUAAACUCCUGUCAUAAUAGAGUAAGGCAUAGUCGUUAAAAGCUUCUAUGUUUGAUAGUAUAUUAAGAGGAAGGGACGGCUAACUUCGUGCCAGCAGCCGCGGUAAUACGAAGGUCCCGAGCGUUAUUCGGAAUCACUGGGCGUAAAGGGAGCGCAGGCGGCGUGGUAAGUCAGAUGUGAAAGCCCAGGGCUCAACCCUGGAACUGCAUUCGAUACUGCCAUGCUAGAGUAGUGGAGAGGUAAAUGGAAUUUUGGGUGUAGCAGUGAAAUGCGUGGAUAUCCAAAGGAAGACCAAUGGCGAAGGCAAUUUACUGGACACUUACUGACGCUGAGGCUCGAAGGCUAGGGGAGCGAAAGGGAUUAGAUACCCCUGUAGUCCUAGCAGUAAACGAUGUGCGCUUGGUGUGGGGAGGUUCGACCCUUUCCGUGCCGGAGCUAACGCGUUAAGCGCACCGCCUGGGGAGUACGG